GAUCAUUUGUCCUGAAAUAUGCC
rnacentral:siRNA from 1 species